AUCUCCUUUAUUCUUACUAUUGUUGCCACUCCCUCUCAUCGAGCACAGCCGGCGUAGCCGUGCGUGUGCGCGUGUGCCGGUGCGUUCACGCACUCCACACGGCAGCACCGCUGCUUGACGCAGUGGGUGCGAGGAAGAGCGGGAGGCGUAAAGGAGGAUAGAUAGACGAGCAGAAGGUUACACGAGGCGGCGAGGAACGGCAGAAGACGAUCACACAGCUGCCGCGCAGGAAAAGAGGGGCGCGUCACAUCGACGCGUUGAACACGGAAGGCGAAAGAAGGUCGUCACAGAGAGAGAGAGUUUGGUGAGCAAGAGCCGUAAAGCGGAAGGCACACGUGUGCUUAAGCCUGCUGCGGUGGUUUGGCUGGCCCGUCUUGCUGCAUCUCCUUCUCCCCAAUCACGAUUGAGCCGCCGCCGCCUUCAUCAGCGUGUUGUGCACUGUGUCGGUGUGCGUGCAUCCAUUUAUAUUGGCAUACAUAGUCUCUCGGUUGCGUGCUGUAGCGUGUGCGGUCGUGCUCUCGAUCUGUUCGGUUAUUACGGGGGGAGAGAAGUACAACAUCAGACGAAAGCGGGCACCAGUGCACAGCACUGCUACAUGCAUACGACGGCCCUCAUAAAAAGCGUAGCAGUAUGGGAUACCUACAAGUGCUCCUCGCGUCUCAUCGCCACCUCACUGCUGCACCUGUGUGUCCCCGUGCUCGUGGUGCUGUUAUGGCACCAGUGUCCAAGUGUGUCGCUGCGCCGUCGUGUAUACCUCUUGUUUCUCUUCCUUCAUCCUCCCCACCUCCCUCAG
rnacentral:misc_RNA from 1 species